AGCAGCCGCGGUAAUUCCAGCUCCAAUAGCGUAUAUUAAAGUUGUUGCAGUUAAAAAGCUCGUAGUUGAAUUUCGGGACCAAUCUGCCGGUCGUGCCUCCGGUAUGCACUGGUUUUAUUGAUUUCUCCCUUCUGACGAAUCAUGAUGUCAUUAAUUUGGUGUCAUGGGGAAUCAGGACUGUUACUUUGAAAAAAAUUAGAGUGUUUAAAGCAGGCUCACGCUUGAAUACAUUAGCAUGGAAUAAUGAAAUAGGACGUUUGACCCUAUUUUGUUGGUUUCUAGGGUCGACGUAAUGAUUAAUGGGGAUAGUUGGGGGCAUUAGUAUUCAAUUGUCAGAGGUGAAAUUCUUGGAUUUAUUGAAGACUAACUACUGCGAAAGCAUUUGCCAAGGAUGUUUUCAUUAAUCAAGAACGAAAGUUAGGGGAUCGAAGACGAUCAGAUACCGUCGUAGUCUUAACCAUAAACUAUGCCGACUAGGGAUCGGAUGAUGUUAUUUUUUAAUGACUCAUUCGGCACCUUA
rnacentral:rRNA from 1 species